rnacentral:pre_miRNA from 1 species
GUAGUACUCCCUCCAUUCGGAAUUACUUGUCACAAAAAUGGAUGUAUCUACAACUAAAAUACAUCUAGAUAAAUUCAUUUCUUGGACGAGUAAUUCCGAACGGAGGGAGUAUGUA